rnacentral:rRNA from 1 species
UACGUAGGGGGCAAGCGUUGUCCGGAUUUAUUGGGCGUAAAGAGCGUGUAGGCGGCCAGGCAGGUCCGCUGUGAAAACUCGAGGCUCAACCUCGAGAGGUCGGUGGAAACCGUCUGGCUAGAGUCCGGAAGAGGAGAGUGGAAUUCCCGGUGUAGCGGUGAAAUGCGCAGAUAUCGGGAAGAACACCCGUGGCGAAGGCGGCUCACUGGCCCGAUACUGACGCUGAGGCACGAAAGCGUGGGGAGCAAACAGG